rnacentral:snoRNA from 1 species
UUGCAGGUCAGUUUUAAUAUAGCCUGUGUGGUGCUGUAUUGACGUUCCCCCUGCAAACAGAAAACUGUUUCCACGCUAUCUCUGUUUGUCCAAACCUCCUGACAGCCAGAGACGCAGGGUUUCAGACAC